GAUGAAGAACGUAGCGAAAUGCGAUAAAUAAUGUGAAUUGCAGAAUUCAGUGAAUCAUCGAGUCUUUGAACGCACAUUGCGCCCCCUGGUAUUCCGGGGGGCAUGCCUGUCCGAGCGUCAUUGCUGCCCUCAAGCACGGCUUGUGUGUUGGGCCCCCGUCCCCCCCUCCCGGGGGACGGGCCCGAAAGGCAGCGGCGGCACCGCGUCCGGUCCUCGAGCGUAUGGGGCUUUGUCACCCGCUCUGUAGGCCCGGCCGGCGCCUGCCGACCACCAUCAAUCUUUUUUCCAGGUUGACCUCGGAUCAGGUAGGGAUACCCGCUGAACUUAAGCAUAUCAAUAAGCGGAGGA
rnacentral:misc_RNA from 1 species